GAUGAAGAACGUAGCGAAAUGCGAUACUUGGUGUGAAUUGCAGAAUCCCGUGAACCAUCGAGUCUUUGAACGCAAGUUGCGCCCGAAGCCAUUUGGUUGAGGGCACGUCUGCCUGGGCGUCACAUAUCGUUGCCCGAUGCCUAUUUCAAUGUGAUAGGAAAUUCUAGGGCGAAAGAUGGCUUCCCGUGAGCGUUGUUGCCUCGCGGUUGGUUGAAAAUUGAGUCCUUGGUAGGGUGUGCCAUGAUAGAUGGUGGUCGAGUUUGCACGAGACCGAUCAUGUGUGCGCUCCCCAAAAUAUGGACUCUUUGACCCCACACGCGUCUUUUGACGCUCAUGACGAGACCUCAGGUCAGGCGGGGCUACCCGCUGAGUUUAAGCAUAUCAAUAAGCGGAGGA
rnacentral:misc_RNA from 1 species